AUAAAGUCCGUUCGCUUGUUUCAAUCACGUUCUGAUGAAAAGCAGAGGAGGUCUCUUUGUAGCUUGGUGUCCCUUCUUGUCACUGGCCCUGUUUUGUAGUAGAGUGCAGGCAUCUUGGUUGUGUGCUAGCUGUUGAGGCACUCUCUUCUCAAACCAAUUACUACAAGUAAUGACAUGCAGACUCAGAAAGAGAAUCCUGAACUUCCAGCUCUAUUUUUAACGCCAAACCCUUCAAAAGCCAUCAGUUGAUGACCUCAUGGGCAGCCUGCAGACACUGAUGGGAGGACAGCGCUCAUCCGCAGGGCACCAGGAGCUGGGACCCAGAUGGCGUGUGCUGCCAGGACGUGGAGAACUCCUGCCUACGGUUCUGGAUUAGAAAAUGCACAUUUGGAGGAGAAUCCUUAAAUGUAACUCCCCUAGAAACAAAUGGAUACAGUAUAUGACUGACGAUUACCCCUGUUCGGACCAGCAGCUUCCACACCAAAAUCCAAGGUACCACUGGCAGAGUUAUACCUGGCCACUGUUGACUAUUGGGAGUCAACAACCUUCACUACAGUCUCACACCCCAGAGGGAUGGCAGUGAAGAAAAGUGGCAGCAGCCAUGCUACCCACGCCUGCCUUGCACAGUCAUUCCUGUACUUCGUGUGGAGCUGCCUUGUCUGCAGGGUCUACGCAUACCCAGUGCUAUGACUUCCUGAAAGAUGUAGUUCUGUUCAAUGGUUUGAAUUGAAAAAGUGCUGACUUGCAUAGAAACUGCACUUUUUUCCCCUACUUUUCUGUAACAUUUCUUUAUCCAUCUUUUCUCAGUGUAAGGACUGAUAUUUCUGGCCAGAAAGCCUUACACAACCAAGUCUAUAACUGCAAUGGGCUGGAGUUGAGUGAAAAUCACAGGUUUGCCUAAAAGCAAUAUUUCCCACAUCUGUGAUGUGGCCUAGAUUAUUGCAGAUAGAGUGAAGUCUGCCACUGUACAUCUCUGAACUUCUUUGCGAAGGGUCCACUUGGCAAUUUUUGCUCUUCACCACCCUAGAAACGUGUAAAUGUUUAUUACCAGCAAGCUGCAGUUCAUGGUUUAUCUUGUGGUUAACAGGGUUUAACUUGUGAUACCAGGUUUGCAGUAUUUGAUGGGAAGGGGCAGGUGCAUUGCUGCUUGAAGGUGGCUGGGAUUUCCCUCUUCUUUCACUGGGUGCACCUCAAGUCUGGAGGGGGCUAGAUGGACAAGUGCUCCUUUUUAGCCCUUGGCAAGUAGCGUUCUCACGUUUUCAAAAGCACAGAUCACCACAAAUGCUCAGUGUUGUAGAAGAGUGGGACCUCAUGAAAGCCGUGGCCCGAAGCAACGACUAAUUAAUGUUAUCUCAGCACUGCUGUAUGUGUGUGUGUGCCUUCCACACUGCUUGCCGGCUCCAGCUCACUUGUUGAGUGUGAGAAGGAUGUAUGAGAGCAUGAGAAAUCAAACCUAGUUUGCGACUAAUAGAUCUGAUAGGGAUCCCUAAGUAGUGAUCAUACAGCAGAUUGAGAUCCCUCUCAGGAGUUUAAGAACAUAAACAUGAAAAAUAGCCUUAUUCUUUGUGGUCUCCUGGUUGAAGUUCUUCUGACAGUAAGCCAAGAAAAGUGUUACUAAUUUAAUGCGAGACUAUUUAAUAGCAGAACUUUCAUCUGCCUUGCACCUGUAUGCUAUGGAAGUCUAAAGCAUAUUGUAGCUAGAAAAUGGGUGUUUGUCUCUUUCCUUCUGAGCCAAUGCCACUGAAAGGAGCUUGUUGGCUCAUUCCAGCUAAGGAGCGCUGUGUUGAAUAGAAAUUAGUAUGCUGUGGAAAGCAUCACUCUGUCUGCACUGAGAUGUUUUUGGAUCUUUGCAGAAUAUGCUGCUUUCAUUGCAGUUUAAAACACUUUUCCAUGGUAUAAUCACCUCUUUAUUGUUGUUACCUGUUUAAGGCUAUUUGGUCACUGUUACAGAAGGUUUGUGAAGGUCUGAAACUGCUGACAUAAAGAAGGCCUGAAAGGAAAGCCACGGCUCUUGCAAUCUCUAUCAUCUCAAAACCCAAACCCAGGUUUUCAAGGCAAUGCCAUGCAUGUAGCCAGAUGGAAGCAUCAAAGCCCAUUGCCCUUGGGCCCAUUUGUUCCCAUCCUGCAUUGGCAGUACCCUGUGGGCACAUUAAAUUCCUCAACUCCAAGAGAAAGAAGCCAGAUGUUGCUGUCCACAAAGAACGUCUCCUGUGCUCAUUUACUGCUAGGUUGAUGAGCAAAACUGCCUGUGAAAGAAGCAGACAUAAAAUAAGAGGUAAAUCAUUUUCUCUUAAAACUAAGUGGAUCUUAGCUAACAGUUAUUCUGGGAUUCCGUAGGGAAAAAGAGAGUAGAAUCAAUGAUUCAAUGUGUUUCAUUGAUGUCUGUUGUCUUUGCACUCCAGGAUUUCCCCAUUGCAGCUGGUGUAAUGCUGAGUUACCACUACAUUUUUACUGUUUUCAGACCAACGUGUUUUCAAGUGUGCUUUAAUGUUCGGUUGAGCACGUAUCAAAGAAUUGCAGAGGAAUGAGACCAGCUCUGACACCACACAGAACAAUUAACAUGAGUGGUGCUGCUCAAGGGACAAGGGUGUGUUGAGGCACGAGCCGAGGCUGGUUUUUCAUACUGGUGUUGUCUCAGCUGGACGAUGGCAAUUAGUGUGCCUGUAGCACACAUGUUGGCUUAGCUUGGUGGGGUUUUUUUUGAAGUUUCUGCACAAAUUGCUCUUGCCACAACCAAAGCGCACUGUCAGGGUGCAUAUUUCAAUGCACGCCACCCAGUCUGUGUCCCCUCAUCUUGGCACUGAGAUCCCUGGGUAUGAGAAUGAGAACGUCAACCUUGCUGCUGCCAUAAUGAAUCCUGAGAAAUCCCAGAGCAUCAGAGUCCCGGAUUUAAUCACUGAGGUGUUUAAUGUGGAGAUGCCAUGGGUGCUGCUCAGAAAUAGAAAGUACCCAAGAGGAACUACUCAGACUUGACCAAAUAAAUAAAUAAUAAAAAGAAAGUUGAAGAAAAUGCU